rnacentral:misc_RNA from 1 species
UGUGGGAGCGAGCCUGCUCGCGAAAGCGCCAGUACAGCCAGCAUCCAUGUUGAAUGUGCUGGCCUCUUCGCGAGCAGGCUCGCUCCCACA